rnacentral:lncRNA from 1 species
GGACCUCAGGUAUGUAUGAUGGAUCUAGUCUUAAUAAGUUAUACAUCCAGAAGGACCGCUCCAUCAUGAGCUGUGCAAAAAUUAGUAAAUUAAUUGAUCUCAAUGCAAAACAGGUAGUUUAGGAAAAUUGUCAUCUAACCUUUCAAACAACAACUUGUGAAGAUGAAAACCUCGGAGCUAACAUUAAAAAUAAAGACAAAACCCUAAGUAAUAAUAAAAAAUUAACAACUAAAUCAAAUUGACAAGG